UACGUAGGGUGCGAGCGUUAAUCGGAAUUACUGGGCGUAAAGCGUGCGCAGGCGGUUUUGUAAGACAGGUGGGAAAUCCCCGGGCUUAACCUGGGAACUGCGCUUGUGACUGCAAGACUCGAGUACGGCAGAGGGGGGUAGAAUUCCACGUGUAGCAGUGAAAUGCGUAGAGAUGUGGAGGAAUACCGAUGGCGAAGGCAGCCCCCUGGGUCGAUACUGACGCUCAUGCACGAAAGCGUGGGGAGCAAACAGG
rnacentral:rRNA from 1 species